UUUCUUUGAAACUACUACUUUGUGGAAUGGAGGAAAAUGAGUAGGUUACAGAGACAAGAUUGUGAAUGAUGGAGGUGGGGCAAAGUUAGGAGACUUUGCAAGACCUGUUGGGUUACCUCUGGGGCAGGACAGCAACGCUGAAUGUAAACAGAGAGAGUCUAGAAGUGAAGGAGGAACCACUAAAAACAGCUGUUGUUUUUUCAUUUUAUUAUGAAUAGUGUUGGAGCAUUUCAAACCUUGGAUGUUUUAUGUGCAGCAAAAAAGGAGUGAAAGAUCAUAUCCAGCAUUCUGAGAAACGGAGAAUUGGGCAAAGUUCCUAUAAUUUGGAUCUUACACUUAAACAAUCCCCAACACAUGACCAAGGCUGGCAGAAAGGCAGCUGAUCCACAGUGGGAGCCCGGAGAGUGAAGUGAGUUUGAAGCUGUUGGAACAGUAGGCUUCUGGCAACCUGGGAUAAAGGAGUACUUGCAACAGGAGAAGGAAAGGAAGCAAGUCAGCAUGACACCAAAAAUGCCUUGUAUAGAGCACCACAGAGCAUAGGAAUUUCCAAUGAGAAAUCAAGCUCCCCU
rnacentral:lncRNA from 1 species